ACACAUGCAAGUCGAACGCGAAAGGGACUUCGGUCGUGAGUAAAGUGGCGCACGGGUGAGUAACGCGUGGAUAAUCUGCCCAAUGGUCUGGGAUAACAUUUCGAAAGGGGUGCUAAUACCGGAUAAGACCACGAAGUCUUAGGACUUUGCGGUAAAAGGUGGGACCUUCGGGCCUACCGCAAUUGGAUGAGUCCGCGUACCAUUAGCUAGUUGGUAGGGUAAUGGCCUACCAAGGCAACGAUGGUUAGCUGGUCUGAGAGGAUGAUCAGCCACACUGGAACUGAGACACGGUCCAGACUCCUACGGGAGGCAGCAGUGGGGAAUUUUGCGCAAUGGGGGAA
rnacentral:rRNA from 1 species